UAAAGAAUUAGUUAAAAUAUAACAUUAGACUGUCAAGCUAAAAUUAAUAAGCAUAUUAUUCUUUAA
rnacentral:tRNA from 1 species